AGAUUAAGUUAUUAAGGGCGCACGGUGGAUGCCUUGGCACUAGAAGCCGAUGAAGGACGUUACUAACGACGAUAUGCUUUGGGGAGCUGUAAGUAAGCUUUGAUCCAGAGAUUUCCGAAUGGGGAAACCCAGCAUGAGUUAUGUCAUGUUAUCGAUAUGUGAAUACAUAGCAUAUCAGAAGGCACACCCGGAGAACUGAAACAUCUUAGUACCCGGAGGAAGAGAAAGAAAAUUCGAUUCCCUUAGUAGCGGCGAGCGAAACGGGAAGAGCCCAAACCAACAAGCUUGCUUGUUGGGGUUGUAGGACACUCUAUACGGAGUUACAAAGGACGACAUUAGACGAAUCAUCUGGAAAGAUGAAUCAAAGAAGGUAAUAAUCCUGUAGUCGAAAAUGUUGUCUCUCUUGAGUGGAUCCUGAGUACGACGGAGCACGUGAAAUUCCGUCGGAAUCUGGGAGGACCAUCUCCUAAGGCUAAAUACUCUCUAGUGACCGAUAGUGAACCAGUACCGUGAGGGAAAGGUGAAAAGCACCCCGGAAGGGGAGUGAAAUAGAACCUGAAACCGUGUGCUUACAAGUAGUCAGAGCCCGUUAAUGGGUGAUGGCGUGCCUUUUGUAGAAUGAACCGGCGAGUUACGAUUUGAUGCAAGGUUAAGCAGUAAAUGUGGAGCCGUAGCGAAAGCGAGUCUGAAUAGGGCGUUUAGUAUUUGGUCGUAGACCCGAAACCAGGUGAUCUACCCUUGGUCAGGUUGAAGUUCAGGUAACACUGAAUGGAGGACCGAACCGACUUACGUUGAAAAGUGAGCGGAUGAACUGAGGGUAGCGGAGAAAUUCCAAUCGAACCUGGAGAUAGCUGGUUCUCUCCGAAAUAGCUUUAGGGCUAGCCUCAAGUGAUGAUUAUUGGAGGUAGAGCACUGUUUGGACGAGGGGCCCCUCUCGGGUUACCGAAUUCAGACAAACUCCGAAUGCCAAUUAAUUUAACUUGGGAGUCAGAACAUGGGUGAUAAGGUCCAUGUUCGAAAGGGAAACAGCCCAGACCACCAGCUAAGGUCCCAAAAUAUAUGUUAAGUGGAAAAGGAUGUGGCGUUGCCCAGACAACUAGGAUGUUGGCUUAGAAGCAGCCAUCAUUUAAAGAGUGCGUAAUAGCUCACUAGUCGAGUGACACUGCGCCGAAAAUGUACCGGGGCUAAACAUAUUACCGAAGCUGUGGAUUGUCCUUUGGACAAUGGUAGGAGAGCGUUCUAAGGGCG
rnacentral:rRNA from 1 species